rnacentral:rRNA from 1 species
GACGAACGCUGGCGGCGUGCUUAACACAUGCAAGUCGAGCGGAAAGGCCACUUCGGUGGUACUCGAGCGGCGAACGGGUGAGUAACACGUGAGUAAUCUGCCCCUGGCUUUGGGAUAGCCACCGGAAACGGUGAUUAAUACCGGAUACGACCACUUCUCGCAUGGGAUGGUGGUGGAAAGUUUUUUCGGCCAGGGAUGUGCUCGCGGCCUAUCAGCUUGAUGGUGAGGUAAUGGCUCACCAUGGCUUCGACGGGUAGCCGGCCUGAGAGGGUGACCGGUCACAAUGGGACUGAGACACGGCGCAGACUCCUACGGGAGGCAGCAGUGGGGAAGAUUGGACAUGGGCGGAAGCCUGAUCCAGCAACGCCGCGUGAGGGAUGACGGCCUUCGGGUUGUAAACCUCUUUCAGCAGGGACGAAGCGCAAGUGACGGUACCUGCAGAAGAAGCACCGGCCAACUACGUGCCAGCCGCCGCCGUAA